GUAUAGAAGGAUAACGGAGGAUAUUUUAUCCAAACUAUCAUUUUCUCCAUGGAAAAGAAAAAGGGAAAUAGGAAGAAAAACUGUUGCUUUUUUUGCCAGAAUACAUUUUUAAAUAUUGCCCGCCAUCUGGAAAAUCAACACGGUGACGAAGAUGAAGUCAUUAAAUUUACGCCUCUUCCAAAAGGUUCUAAAGAAAGACGAAAAAUUAUUGACUUGAUAAGAAAAAAAGGCAACUACGAAAAUAAUACAUAUGAAAACGAUAUCAUUCCAGUUCGACGGGCACAAGAAGGUAAAAAUCCGAGAUUAAUACCGUGUCCCAGAUGCAGGGGUUAUUAUUCCAAAUGUUCUCUCAGGAAACAUUUCCCUAACUGUCAACAAGAGGGAUACAAACAGAAAAACAAUAGACUUGGUAUAAUCUUAGGUCGCAGAAUUAACAACGAUAUACACUGUACG